CCUGCAGGCGGUCUCGUAAGUGGGAUGUGAAAUCUCCUGGCUUAACUGGGAGGGGUCAUUCCAUACUGCGAGGCUCGAGGGCAGAAGAGGGAAGCGGAAUUCCCGGUGUAGUGGUGAAAUGCGUAGAUAUCGGGAGGAACACCAGUGGCGAAGGCGGCUUCCUGGCCUGCUCCUGACGCUAAGAGGCGAAAGCUAGGGGAGCGAACGGGAUUAGAAACCCCGGUAGUCCUAGCCAUAAACGAUGGAUACUGGGUGUCGGUGGUCCUAACCCCAUCGGUGCCGAAGCUAACGCGUUAAGUAUCCCGCCUGGGGACUACGGCCGCAAGGUUAAA
rnacentral:rRNA from 1 species